UUGGAGGGCAAGUCUGGUGCCAGCAGCCGCGGUAAUUCCAGCUCCAAUAGCGUAUAUUAAAGUUGUUGCAGUUAAAAAGCUCGUAGUUGAACUUCAGACCUGACCGGGCGGUCCGCCUAACGGUGUGUACUGUCUGGCCGGGCCUUACCUCUUGGUGAGCCGGCAUGCCCUUCACUGGGUGCGUCGGGGAACCAGGACCUUUACCUUGAGAAAAUUAGAGUGUUCAAAGCAGGCUUACGCCGGAAUACAUUAGCAUGGAAUAAUAAAAUAGGACGUGUCGG
rnacentral:rRNA from 1 species